ACACAUUGUUAUUUUUCCCUGAACUCAACUUUUCACGACGUUCUUUUACAGAGCCCCCCCCCACGCCGACUGGCGUAAUGGUUUGAGUUGAACUCCUUACCGAAGUCAUUGGCUGAAGGUGGAGGUGUGCAGGACUGAACCUGGAAUGGACUGUUUCAAAUGGGGAAAAGAAGUUCUUGUGGAAAAUGGCUCGCUCGUAUUGUGUUUGAAAAUAGACGUUUCACGAGCACGGCAAUAAAAUAUGAAAAGUAAGAAGUAA